UACGUAGGGGGCAAGCGUUGUCCGGAAUUAUUGGGCGUAAAGCGCGCGCAGGCGGCUCUUUAAGUCUGGUGUUUAAUCCCGAGGCUCAACUUCGGGUCGCACUGGAAACUGGGGAGCUUGAGUGCAGAAGAGGAGAGUGGAAUUCCACGUGUAGCGGUGAAAUGCGUAGAGAUGUGGAGGAACACCAGUGGCGAAGGCGGUCUGCUGGGCCGUUGCUGACGCUGAGGCGCGACAGCGUGGGGAGCAAACAGG
rnacentral:rRNA from 1 species